AUUGAACGCUGGCGGCAGGCCUAACACAUGCAAGUCGAACGAGUGGCGGACGGGUGAGUAAUGGCUGGGAAACUGCCUGAUGGAGGGGGAUAACUACUGGAAACGGUAGCUAAUACCGCAUACCAUCAGAUGUGCCCAGAUGGGAUUAGCUUGUUGGUGGGGUAACGGCUCACCAAGGCGACGAUCCCUAGCUGGUCUGAGAGGAUGACCACCACCACUGGACAUGAGACACGUUCCAUCCUCCUACGGGAGGCGGCAGUGGGGAAUAUUGCCCAAUGGGCGCAAGCCUGAUGCAGCCAUGCCGCGUGUAUGAAGAAGGCUUUCGGGUUGUAAAGUACUUUCAGCGGGGAGGCGUUACCCGCAGAAGAAGCACCGGCUAACUCCGUGCCAGCAGCCGCGUAAUAC
rnacentral:rRNA from 1 species